GUUUCGGAAUAACAGUGAGAAAUUACUGCUAAUACCGGAUGAUGUCUUCGGACCAAAGAUUUAUNGCCCAGGGAUGAGCCCGCGUAGGAUUAGGUAGUUGGUGGGGUAAUGGCUUACCAAGCCGANGAUCGUUAGCUGGUCUGAGAGGAUGAUCAGCCACACUGGGAUUGAGACACGGCCCAGACUCUUACGGGAGGCAGCAGUGGGGAAUAUUGGACAAUGGGCGAAAGCCUGAUCCAGCAAUGCCGCGUGAGUGAUGAAGGCCUUAGGGUUGUAAAGCUCUUUUACCCGGGAUGAUAAUGACAGUACCGGGAGAAUAAGCUCCGGUUAUCC
rnacentral:rRNA from 1 species